GAAUCCCACUUCUGGGUAUAUAUCCAAAAGAAUUUAGAUCAGAUUCAUUGCACCAUUAUUCACAAUAGCCAAGAGGUGGAAACAACCUAAAUGUCCAUUAGUAGAUGAAUGGACAAGAAAAUGGGGUGUAUGCAUACAAUGGAAUGUUACUCAACAUUUCAAAAAGAAGAAAAUGCUACCAUUUGUGAUAACACGGAUGGACCUGGAAGACAUUACGAUAAGUGAAGUACUGAAUAGGACAGACACAGAAGGACAAAUACUGCAUGAUUCCACUUAUAUGAGGAAUCUAAAAUCCAUAGUCAAACUUACAGAAACAGAGAGUAGACUGAUGGGUUGUGUAACCGAGCAGGGCACUAUGAGACUUUCCCAGAAUAGACCCCCUCCUAUGUCCUCCGCCUGCCUUUUGGUUUGGGGAAGAACUUUAGUCGCCGAAUAAAAUUUAAUCAGAGAAGUGAGAAAAUGCAGAAAGAAAGGGAAACAGUCAAGCAAGACAAAGUAAUAAUUCUUUAGCCAUGAAACAAAGUCAAGGACCUUUAGUUCUUCCCCAAGAACUAUAGGUAAUAUUCUGAGCCAUGUCCUCUGAGCUGUUUUACAGAUACUGAAACCCACCCCCCAAGGUGAAAGAAGUUAACGGUAUGCUGCCCACAAGCACGGAGACCCCAGACCGGCUGGAACCAGAAGUCUGAUGAUGCUGAGUCCCCAUUACCUCACCAUCAACCAGUCAGAAGAAUGUCCACGAGCUGAUCACGCCCUGCUCCUUGAGCACUAACUAGCCCGAAACUGGCCCUAUCCUGUUUCUAACAAGAUACUGAACUGUUUCUCUGAGACAGCAGAACAACCGCAAGUCAUGCAGCCGAAGCAGGCACAGACGAGAAAAUUUUGACUUCAAACAACACACGGAACCCUUUCAGAAGGGAAGGGUCCAUUGUCCAAGAUCCCAUGCUGAAGCCCCUUCCCCAUACUUUACCAUAUAUGGCCAGGUUCCAAAGCCUUCCAAUCGAAACUUGCACCCCAGCGCUUCCAAAUACCUAUCCUCCCCUAACUCAUAGAAGUUUGAUGGAACCCCCCCAUCAGAGAAGCUCAUUAGAGCCGUGCCCUCCUGUCUCCUUGCUGGUUGACCUUGCAAUAGAGCUUUUUCUUUUCUCAAAAGCAGAUGCUAUAGUAUUGGCUUCUACGCACGUCGGAAAGCAAGCCCUUUGCUCGGUAACACGUACAUCAUGAAAUGAUUAUCACAAUAAGUUUACUGAACGUCUAUUAUAUAGGUACAAAAAUAUUUUUCCUUGUGAUGAGAAUUCUUAGGAUUUACUCUACUGACAACUUUCAUAUAUAACAUGCAACAGUGCUAAUUAUAUUUAUUAUGUGGUGUUUCAUUAACUUUUCAUAACCCACAGGAGGUACUACUAUUAGCAUCAUUUUACAGGGGACUAAACUGAUCAUAGGAGAAGUGAAGUAACUUGCCCGAAGUUACACAGUUAGUAGUAAACCAGGAACUGAAUACCCAUUACACAAUCCCAAAAUUGUAAUUUUUCUAGAACAGCACACCACUUUGCCAAAUAACUUUUUCACCACUAUAUAUUGCUGAUUUCAUGUAAUUAAGUGAAUUUCUUUUGACAGUGGGAUGAAAAUAAGAUUAGAAGGAUCAAGAAACACUAUCUAAAAUAUUGAGACUACUUUAUGAAAUAUGUCCUAAUCUUUAUAUAUAUUGGCUUGAGCUUGAUUUGUAUAUUUAUUUGUUGAUUUUCCAUCUUCUUCUAAAAUAUAUAAGCCUUAUAAAGAGAAAAAAACUGUUCUCCAAAGUAUCUCCAUCACUUAGAACACAGACUAGCACGUGGUAAAUGUAAACUGUUUGACGAAUGAAUGACUUAAUGAUGAGACAACACAUUUACUAUUAUUUCCUUAAUUUUUUUCCUUCAGAAGUGUCUCUAUUUAUAGUUUUAAAUUAAUUUUUAUUGAAAAUAGUUGAUGUACCUUAAUUUGUAUUUUAAUUCACAUUGUAUAUAACAUUUAAUACUUUUUUCCCUAUCUCUACCAGAUAUUAGUAUGCUAUGAAAGUGCUUUAAAUUUCAUAAGCAUUUCCUGAAUCAUAAUAAAAUGUUCAAAAACA